rnacentral:tRNA from 2 species
GGUUCCGUAGCUUAACUGAAUAGAGCAUCUGACUACGGAUCAGAAGGUUGGGGGUUUGAAUCCCUCCGGGACCAC